GUAGUCCCACGCGGCAGAGCAGCCCCGGAGGACUUCCGGACUGCGCGUCCUAUUUAGACGCCCUACGGAGGCCUUCGGGAAUCGCAGUUCGGCGCGCGCAAGUCGCCGGGAGCUGUAGUCCCUUUCGCCUGCUCAGUCAGCGUGCUACCACCCGGUCGCUGCCUAGGGAAUGCGAAAGCGGUCGGUCCCGGGGAGCAGAAAGGCCGGCGGGCAGGAGCUGAGGAGGGCAUGUCUCAGGCUCCGGAAGCAAGGCCGAGUCCACCCUCAGUGUAUCAUGAGCGGCAGCGGCUAGAGCUGUGUGCUGUCCAUGCUCUCAACAACGUCCUUCAAGAGCAGCUCUUUAGCCAGGAGGCUGCCGACGAAAUCUGCAAGAGGCUAGCCCCAGAUUCCCGGCUGAACCCCCAUCGCAGUCUCUUGGGCACCGGCAACUAUGAUGUCAACGUGAUCAUGGCUGCCCUGCAGGGCCUGGGCCUGGCCGCUGUGUGGUGGGACAGGAGGAGAAGGCUUCCCCGUCACAUAUGAGGCCAGGAUUCCAUCCCCAGCACUCCAUCAACUGCUGUAGUGGUGCACAUCUGGGAUACCCGAGACCCUGCCUAAACAAACCAAAGCUGGAGUUGACAGAUAAGAGGACCCCUGUCCCAGCUGGCCCUGCCCCAGGUACUAGGCCUGAUCUUGAACCUACCCUCUCCUGUGUCGCUGGGGCUGCUGUCCCUGCCACUGCGCCGCCGACACUGGGUGGCCCUGCGACAGGUAGAUGGCAUCUACUAUAAUCUGGACUCAAAGCUCCGGGCCCCUGAAGCCCUGGGGGACGAGGAUGGAGUCAGGACCUUCCUGGCAGCUGCCUUGGCCCAAGGCCUGUGCGAGGUGCUAUUGGUGGUGACCAAGGAGGUGGAGGAGGCCGGCUGCUGGCUGAACACAAGCUGAUCUGCUGCCUGCUCCCACAGUCCUAAGUGUCCAGUGCCUGGAAGGGCCUGCAGCUCCAGGCCUCAGGAGGCCUGCACCCUGCCCUAGGGUCCCCACUCCCCCAACCACUGCUGCCUCAAUAAAUCUGCUCUUUUGUUAUUUGUG